UUACAAGUGACCCCGGUCUUACCACCGGGAUGUUCAUAACCCUUUGUUGUCCGACUCUGUUGCCUCCGGGGCGACCCUGCCUUCGGGCGGGGGCUCCGGGUGGACACUUCAAACUCUUGCGUAACUUUGCAGUCUGAGUAAACUUAAUUAAUAAAUUAAAACUUUUAACAACGGAUCUCUUGGUUCUGGCAUCGAUGAAGAACGCAGCGAAAUGCGAUAAGUAAUGUGAAUUGCAGAAUUCAGUGAAUCAUCGAAUCUUUGAACGCACAUUGCGCCCCCUGGUAUUCCGGGGGGCAUGCCUGUUCGAGCGUCAUUUCACCACUCAAGCCUCGCUUGGUAUUGGGCAACGCGGUCCGCCGCGUGCCUCAAAUCGACCGGCUGGGUCUUCUGUCCCCUAAGCGUUGUGGAAACUAUUCGCUAAAGGGUGUUCGGGAGGCUACGCCGUAAAACAACCCCAUUUCUAAGGUUGACCUCGGAUCAGGUAGGGAUACCCGCUGAACUUAAGCAUAUCAAUAAGCGGAGGAAAAGAAACCAACAGGGAUUGCUCUAGUAACGGCGAGUGAAGCAGCAAUAGCUCAAAUUUGAAAUCUGGCGUCUUCGACGUCCGAGUUGUAAUUUGUAGAGGAUGCUUCUGAGUAACCACCGACCUAAGUUCCUUGAAACAGGACGUCAUAGAGGGUGAGAAUCCCGUAUGCGGUCGGAAAGGUGCUCUAUACGUAGCUCCUUCGACGAGUCGAGU
rnacentral:rRNA from 1 species